rnacentral:rRNA from 1 species
GACGUAGGGGGCAAGCGUUGUUCGGAAUUAUUGGGCGUAAAGCGCGCGCAGGCGGUCCUUUAAGUCUGAUGUGAAAGCCCACGGCUCAACCGUGGAGGGUCAUUGGAAACUGGGAAGCUUGAGUGCAGAAGAGGAGAGUGGAAUUCCACGUGUAGCGGUGAAAUGCGUAGAUAUGUGGAGGAACACCAGUGGCGAAAGCGGCUCUCUGGUCUGUAACUGACGCUGAGGCGCGAAAGCGUGGGGAGCAAACAGG